GUUCGCACUCAUCGCGGAAGGGUGAGAACCUUCGACUAAGGUUCGAUUCGAGCGAAAGCGAGAGAACGUUGCCACAGGCAACGGCCCGAAGGGUGAGGAGCGAAGCGACGAAUAAUCCUUCCCCCACCACUA
rnacentral:sRNA from 1 species